CCUCGUGCAGCCCAAAGCCUUGCUGCCCUUAUGCACUUUUAGGAUCUCUUCUGUAACUUCAGUUUCUGCAAAUGUUUCAAUUAUUUGCUGCCUUUCAUUUCCACAGGAGAACAGCACACAUCCUGCCCUCCAGAGAAGUUAAACUCCGCUGUUGCGGCCCGUGCUGAACCCUUAGCUUCCAGUGGAAGAGCUGGGGAUCUCCCAGCAAGUCAGCAUCCGCUAAAAGGGAACUAACAUCCUACAGUCAGGACUGCCAACAUUGCUAUGGAAACCCCCCAAAAAUAAAGACUUUCCCAGCCUUGUGAGAGCACACCUGCAAGAACAAGAAUUGCAGUUAGCCUUUUGCCUGUCAAAAACUACUCUCCUUCAAUAUCAGUGUCGCUUAAGGACAUCUUUUAUGUUUGGUAUGAUUUGUUAUCUUAAAAUUUGUA
rnacentral:lncRNA from 1 species